rnacentral:pre_miRNA from 1 species
UAUUAAAAGUUUUAUCUAUUUCUACUGUUAAAAACUCGUAUGGUUGAUAAAAUAACUAAAUAGUGACACGAUGCGUGUCAUGUAUAUCUCAUACUAAUGUAUAAGGACCAUUUUUUAAGGAAAGAACAAAUUUACUUUUUGAUC